rnacentral:rRNA from 1 species
UACGUAGGGUCCGAGCGUUGUCCGGAAUUAUUGGGCGUAAAGAGCUCGUAGGCGGUCUGUCGCGUCGGCUGUGAAAACACGGGGCUCAACUCCGUGCCUGCAGUCGAUACGGGCAGACUAGAGUUCGGUAGGGGAGACUGGAAUUCCUGGUGUAGCGGUGAAAUGCGUAGAGAUCGGAAAGAACAUCGGUGGCGAAGGCGGCUACCUGGUUCCAGACUGACACUUAAGUGCGAAAGCGUGGGGAGCAAACAGG